AUUAAACAUCGUUAUUUGUUAAUUGUGAAUUAAAUAUAUUCAAGCUUUCAGCUGCUCUACCUGGAGCUUAGAACCAUCAUUUUGAAGAAUGGAAAGUUAAAUAGGAAAUGAAACAGUAAAGCGGGGGCAUCAGUAUUGCCAGAAAACCCUGGAUCUACAGAGGAGUGCAUGCUUCUUUUGUGUGAGAUGAACUGGUAGCUCAAAGAAAGCAUCUUUCAUUCAGCGUUUACAGUUGUUAAAUGCACCACAUGCUGGGAACUGGCAAUUCAGACUAGUCCCUAGAAAACUCAAGGCAUUUGCUGUUAAAACAGAAAAUAUAUUUAGUAUUUGCUUUGCUACUGACCUCAGUCCCAUGAAUCCAUUUGCGAGACACAAGCUGGUGUGUCUGCAUACACAGCCAGAUAAUCAAAGAAGCAAAGAUAGAUGCUAGAUGUAGCCUUCAGAGAUAGAAACAAUGACAUGAAAUUCACUGCCCAUCUUAACUUCAUGUUGUAGAGGGAAGAGCGUCACAUAUGUAGGGCAUGGUUUUCUAGAUCUCAGAUAUAAAACAGAUACCACAACAGCUCUUGGUGUUGUCAUAAGACUAAGAAGAAAAGACAGUCAAUCAUCUGACAUCUUAAUGCACAAUAUUCACAGUGAAUUUAACCAUGAAUGUUUUUGAGGAGCUCAAGCUAAUAUAAGACAAUACGUUAAUACUUGGCAUUCUUUUCACAGGUCUCUUGCUGACUUGCAAGUUUCAACCUUGCAAUGGUUUGAGUCAUGGUGUUUGUGCUAUAAUAUUAGGCACACUUCUUUGGACAGAGAGAAGUUACAGUGAGCAGGUAAAAAUGAAACAGAAGUAGUAAUUGAAUUCCAUGCUAGCUUCAUGUGAGUCUUAGUGUCACCUGAAAAUAAGAGUAACAUGAUGGUUUGAAUAAGAAUGCCCCCCAUAGGCUUAUAUAUUUGAAUAUUUAGUCUUCCAGCAAAUAAACAAGUCUGGUUGGCAGGGUUAAAAUGUUGGAUGUUUGCCUAAUCCACUCAUGCAUUUGCUCUGCUACCUUUCCUUGUUGUCUUUAAGCUAAUUAAUCCUUCUCUCAGCCUGAUCAGCACAAGGGUUUGGCCUAUGAAGACCAGGUAUUAAUGAGUGUACAACUGUGUAACUACCUGCCCCACUUAUUCUGAGGCCAAGUUGAUUUAUAGCCCGGUUCAGGACUAAUACCUAGACACUCCCUUGCCUAUACUUCAAGUAUGGAGGCCUAUCUUGGAGUAAUUUUGAAUUCCAAGUUCUUGGUAAAAGACUUUUCUCCCCAUGGAAGCACACAUUGUAGCAGCUUAGGUAAUGUACCACCAUCUCUACCCUUCACCAAUGUGUAUAAGCAGCUGCUAUUCACUUAAGAUCAUAUUAAAAGUUUGUCGAAGCUAGAGGCUCUGUCUCAGCUGUGGAAAAGAAUAUCAAAUUCGGGUAAUGGUUCUUCUGAUUAAAUUUGUUGCAGACAGACAGAAGACGGAAUUAAAUCAGUAGUGGCAUCACAGACAGCAUCAGCAACCAGCAAGAAAUUGAAUCUCCAAAUGUCAUUUUGGAAGGAGGAAGCAAGAUGAGUAUUUCAUCUCUUAAUAGAUUAAUCAGGGUAAACGAAACAGCAUGUUCAAAAGUUUGUAGGAUUGGCAAAUUGUGUUUUGGAAAGGCCAUCAGAAAGCAGCCAGAGCCAUUAUGAUAAGAAUUUACAGCGUGACAAUUGUCUAGACAAGAGAAUUAAGACACUCCUUGUUCUAAUUUUAAUUUGAAAUAAAGCUGACCAUAUCACACUGAGUUAAGUGUCCUGGACUGUAGGUCUGCUGCCAUUGGAUAAAAAUCUAAACUUGGUCAUUUCUUCCAGGAUAGCUGAUGGAAAGAAAAGGGAAUAGGGAGCAUGCCAACAGCAAAGAAAUUUGGAUUCAAGUGAAGGGACACACCAUGGUUAAAGAAAGGAAACAUAGGAUUCAAUGAGACAUUCUGAGACAUUUUUACAGUGUAAAAUGACUAAAUCCAGAUAAUUAAAAAAAAAGUCCUUAACAUUAUUUGUGGUGAAAACAUUUUUAAAAACAUUUUUCAGCAAUUUUGAAGUGCAAAAUAUAUUGCUCCUUAUUAUAAUUACCAUACUUUGGCAUUGAGCACUAAAGGUAUUUUUCCUCUUCUCCAACUGAAACUCGUACCAUUUGAUCAGAACCCCUCCUCAUCUACCCAAAUGGAUAGAGAGUAAAAUUAUGGCUAUUGGGGGUUUUCUUUGCAAAGAGAUGACUGAGCCCAGACUUUCUCUCUUGUGCUUACAGUGUAAACUUUUUGACCCGAAUUCCAAGUACAAAACAAGCCACACCCAUGUUGAAAAUUUUACAAGGCUGAUUGACUGAUUAGAAAUGGAUUGUACUCCCUACCUAUUCCACAUAGUACUGAAAGACCUAGCCAGACAACAAAAGGAGUUGGUCAAAGGGAUACAAAUUGGAAAAGAAGAAUUCAAAAAAAAAAAAAAAAACUGGAUUGUGGAGAGUGAGAAUGUUGCGAUCUAGAAUUAAAUUAUCUCCUGCUAUCUUUUGUUCCUUUAAUAGCCAUCAGUGGCCAAUUCUUGUGUCAGACAUAACAUCCUUGGGACUAUUAUGCCUAAAAUGUUAGCCAUUUAUAAAUUGACCAGUACCUCCCACUAACCCAAAAGCUAAGAGUCACGGGUAACAUCUGAGGACUGUAGCACAUUCCCUGCUUUGUUGCAACCACUUUGUUUGGUGUAUCUACCAAUAACAAUUGUCUCGUAUUGUGUUCUCUUUUACUCUGUAUCCAGUCAUGAGACUCUUCGCAUGUAAUGUGGAGCACAUUACAUAGGCAAUUGAAUCUCUGUUCCAAUGCCUAGGUAAGAUCUGUAUUUUCAUAUGCAGUGUAGAGCAAACGGGAGAACAUAGUUUCAUGAUGAGCAGAUAAAAUGCAAUAGACAACCCAUUUCUAUGAGUGGUGCACACUGGGAAAGUUUUUGAAAGUUCUUUAUUCCAUAGGAAGGACAAGUGUCCAUCUGUUAUGAAGGAAGUUAAUGUCUUUGAGCAUUUAUGCUGUUUGUUGUAAAGAAACUGCUUCUUGUGUUUCCACCUUUUGGUUCCUCCCCCUCUGAAAAAAGGUCAAAGUAAGGAGUGAGACACUUCACAGUCACAGACUACAGUUUCUCCCGGAGGCCUCCCUUGCCAGCAUCCUGCAAGAGACACGGUGCUGCCUUGGAGAGGAAAGCACAUGAGCUACAGGAACUAAAACAUGAGAAUGAAUACAUACACUAAGGAGCUAAACAUCUGAAGAGACAGAAAACACACAAUUGAGUGGAAAGGAAUCUUCACAUGGUUGAAGAAGAGAGAGCCACUUCAACUUUUAGAACAUAGAUCUGAGAGAGAACCAAUAGGUAUGAGACCCCACAGAAAAGUGGAAAAAUGGACGGUGAAGACAAUGUGACUGCCAGAUUUCUUCACUAAGGAACAGAGGUGGUUAAAAGAGGAUGAAAAGAAGGCAAUGUUCACGGUUGCCUACAAUGAAACUGAACAAAACUUCAAUUUUAUGAGGAGCUGCAAAAGGAGUAUUUCUACCAUCAUAAAUGUGUUUUAUGUGCUAAAUAAAUAAAUUACAUACCAUCGGGAAAGCUGCUUUUAUGUAUCCUCAUGUCUCUAAGUAUAACCAACUGCAAUGUGGAAUAUUUUCUCAUCAGACUUAAGAUUCAUUGUAUUUUUUUUCAAACAGUAGCUCAGCUGCAGCUUGAUCGUUUGGAAGAAAUGCAUCGGUAGUUAAUAAUUAUAGCUAUUUUAAAAUAUGACCUGAAAAAUUAAUGUUUUAGUUCAAUUUUAACAUGUUUACCACAUUUCACUGUAUUUUAUGCAUAGUGCUUUCAGUAACUAAAAAAAUACUAUUCAUUGCAUGCACUCUGCUUCCCAUUGCCCCAUAUGAAAAACAUCACACAUUGAUCAACACAUUAUCUUGUAAGUUGGAACAUUAGAAUUGUAUCUAGGUCUUUAAUGCUGGGGAAUAAUAUCUUAGUUCCUAAUAGAUCCCCUGUCUUCACAGCAUCAUUGUAAUUCUCUUCCAGAUCCUAAGCAUGCAUUUAGUUCCAGUGGAAGAGCUCGCUGUUCUUUGUCUGGAUACCAAAUCCUGGAACUGAGUAGCUCCACCAGCCUUCCAAACCAACACACCUUUGCCUGCAUUUCAGGGCCACUUCUCUUCUCACUGGGCAAACCGAUGGUUCCUGUGAGAAUCACAGCACAUAUCUGCAUCUCACCAGUAUCUUCCUUCUCAACUAAGUACUUGCCCCAGAGAAUUCCACCCCUUCUCAACAUCAGAAACUGGAACUUCUCUCUCCUUAUCUUUGCUGACCCUUCCCUCAUGCCACAGACAGUCCUCCGAGUCUCACAGACUCUCCUUAACCUGCUUUCCCCAUAUUGCUAGCAGAGUUUACACACAAGCUUUUCCACGUUGCAUUACAGUCACUACCUCCAUUUCUCACCCCAGUCACUCACGGCUACACCAGACAUGUGGGUACUCUGGGUGGGUUAAUUAUGUCCGGCCCUCUAGGCAUUAUUUUUGUUUUCUUUUAUUUAAUGAUGCAGCAUGAAAAAAAAACCAAGCUUCUAUGAAUGCAAAUGGCAUGCCUGUUUAUCAAUUUAUAGUAAGAAUUAUUUAAAGUACUUAGGCCUGCUACAGGUAGCUGAUUUACAACUCUCACUCUGCCUCUUUCUAAUCAAUUCUAACUAGAUAAUAUCAUUCUCCAUGUGUACACACACAGGGUGGAGGAUUAAGCUAAAUGGAUGGUUCAAAGUGUUGAUAGAAAAUGUUUUGAUUUAAGAAAGCUUGCAAGCCACUCAUCUUGUUUUCUCUUUUGGGGGAGCUAUGCUAUUACUUGGGGGUAUCUUAAAGAAAUGAGCAUUCUGAUAAUAAAGCAAAUUCCUUUUUCCCUUAAAAACAAUUCUCUGCCUUGCUUGUUUACUUGUUUUCACAGAAUUUACCAAUUUAAUAGCUAAACACUGUAGCUUUAAGACAAACCCUGAGUUAAGCCUGUGGCCUCAUAAUUAUAUGUUUUUAUUUAUAGAGGCAUAGCUAGAAGUCUGUUUGGGUUUUCAUUUAUUAUUGUUUGGUUUUACCUCCCAAGCUAGAAUACACUCUGUAGCCAAAGCCACAGAUAUCCAGCAGUUCUCUGGGUCAGUCUCCUGAACAUUAGAUUACAGGCACCACAUCCACCUAGGGGCGCUUUUAUAGAGCCACUUGAAGUCCCUGUACAGGCUACAGAUUCAAUCCAGCCACUACGCGGUUAUACUAGAAUAAUCAUGUGCUCAUGGGGCAACCAGCUGCCCCACCAAGCAUGCUUGCUGACGCCACACUUAACUUAAUCUAAGUUUCUUGAAUAAUUGUUCUCUGUGUCAUUUAUCAGAUAUGUGGAUUCUGUUGCAGCAUCAAGGAUCCAAUCUUGGGCUUCAUACACGCAUACAAGUCUUCUAUCUAUACAUUCUGGAAGGAGCUUUGUACCUUUUUCUUACCUAACAACCUGGCAUUUGAGGAUUGGAGCAAAUAUAUGAAGCAUAAAGACAAGGUUCUAAAUGUGUCACUGGUAGGUUUCCCAUGCAUAAGUGGAGAGCCCCACCACAUGCACAUGUGUGUGUAGCACUAACUGAACUAAGUGGGUUAUCAAAAAUUCUUUUUAAAGGAGACAUGAAGUUGAAAAGGGGACAUAGAGGUGGUCGGAGGGGGGACGUAGAGAUGCAUAUGAUCAUAUUUUCACACGUGUAUGAAUGUCUGAAGAAGAAAAUUUAUAGAAGCUCAAUACAAAAUAGUUACUUCAGCUUAAGCUUAUACCACUUACUGCUUUAAGCUAUUCUUACUACUAUCUGAUAGUAUCUUCUUCAACAUUCAUUUCUCAUCCUAUUCAAUUUCCUUGAUAAUAGGUAACAUUUUGGAGUAUAAUAGUUUUGAAAUGUUCUUCAACAUUUCAGAUUUAAAACUUCAGCAACAAUGCUUCCUCAUGUUUUUUUCUUCUGUUUUAAAACCUUAUUCUGCCUCCCAUUACAAAGUCUAUUCUCAUCUUUGAAAUCUACUUAUUCUUUCAGAUUUUUAUCUUUUUGUUCUCACUGUAUCUGAUCUCCCCAGGUGAUGCUGUCUACUCUCAUGCUUGCAAUUACCGCUUUGAUUCAGUUAUUAUCAAACCUCUGUCUUAAACCUUAAGCAAACAAUUCAUUUCUGAUACUUUUAGCACAUCUCUUCAUGACCAGCCACCAGGAUAAAUUUAUCUUUUUAUAUAAUAUUUUAUUAUUUUUGACAAUUUCAUAUAUGCAUACAAUGUACUUUGAACACGUUUACCUACUACUCCAUCCCUACCCCCAACCACUUCCAAUUUUGUGUUUAAUUUUUUAAAGUAAUUCAGUCUAAUUUGUAUUGUACAUAUAUAUUCAUGGGUCAACAACAGAGCAUCAGGAACCUAACAGGAGCUGUACCCUUAAAGAAGAUACAUUUUCCAUGCUUUAAAAGCUAUUAAUUGUGAAUAGAUGCUGAGAUAGGGGUAGUGACUUAUGGACCCUUCUGUCCUCUAUGCUGGAAUUUUGAUCGGCUUAAUCUUGUGCAGGUCUUAUGCAGCCAACCACAGGUUCUUUGGGUUCAUUUGUUCAGUGAAUUUAUCAUGUUCAGAAGAUACUAUUUUACUCUGGUCUUUCCUGACCUCUAGAUUUUACAAUCUUUAUGAUAUCACUUCCAUGGUGCUACCUGUGUCUUUAGAGGAGGGAUAUACAUGUUCUAUUUGUGGCUGAGAACUACACAAAUACUUAUUCUCUGUACUUUGACCAGUUAUAAAUUUCUGGGUUAACCAACCUCCACACUAUCACAAUCACUAUUGUACACACAAAUUAUCUGAUGCAGUCUGAGAACUAUGCUCUGUAUCAGUUACAGAGAUACAAAUUUAGAGGCCAAUUUGAUACAAUGUUCAUUUAACAAAAUAAUAGUAGUAGAUUCAGCUAUAUGGGGCUUAUGAUAUGAGCUUCUUAACUAUUCUUAGAGAGAUUGCAGUACUAGUCAUGUGUUUCUAUGGAGCAGGCCUUAAGUUCAAUCAGAAAGUAGUUUGUUUUUUCUCACAACUGUCAUGCUACUAUUGCACCCAUAGGCCUAUCUUGCAUUAACUGUUAGUAGGAUACAAAUUAUAUGAAAGAAAAAGGAAUACUGGAGAGGGAGGUUUAAAUGAAGAGAGGUAUAGGUGAGUAAGGUAUGGGAGAGGGUGGAGAGGGAUCACUAACACUAAGGAUGUUUGGAAAAGCUCCAUGGAAACCUAAUGUUUUGUAUGUUUCAUAUCUAUCUAUCAUCUAUCUAUCUACCUAACAUCUAUAUGGAUUUAUAAGCUUUGGAGCUAAAAAAAAAUAGGGUAUGACAAUGUUCCUCUUAAAAGCCAUACAUUUCUUGAGUAUCUCAGAGACCUCCAAAACAAUACAGGUUGUUGCCAUUGCUCUUGGUUUCCAAGCAGAACUUGAUGAUAACAUGCUGAUGAUAUGACAAACUUUGGCUAUUAAGAAAUAAAGGUGAUACAGACUAGCAAGCUGACUCUCAUUGGCUGGCUUUCAUAAAACUAAAAGGUGUCAUGCAGGCUACAGGAGGUAAGUCAUAAGUCUUAGGCAGUUCUAAAAUUGUCAUUUUAGCCACAUAUUCCCACUCAUCCGCCCCUCACUCCCUUCUCUUUAUGGUUGACGUCUCUUAAUAUAGAGCACUUACUUUAAUUUUCAAAAUCCAAGCAGGAACAAUAGAAUCCUUGUUCAAUUUAUAUUGUUAAUCAUCUUCUCUCAUCUACAUGCAUCUAGAGGCCUCCUCUCAGAUAUUCCCAUUUGCACAAUGUCAAGCUCUGGAGGUAGGAGUGUUUCUGAGUCUUACUCCAGCUUUGGUUAUUGUUACUCUACUAUUUAAUAGAGUCUCAUUUCUCAAACUAAAAUCUGAAUUGUGAGAAUAACAGAUGAAAAUCUUCCAAUUUAUUCAUUGUGUUUUCAGAAAAACAGGUGGGUGUUUUCCUGUACUGAGACCCAUUUGCUCAAGUGCAUAUAAUAUCUACUAUCUUGUGAGCUCACCCACAUUAAUAACCUAUCUAUUUUAUAUUAUAUAUACUGCUUGUUCCAUAUUCCCAACUCUCAUUCACACAUAAGUUUCUUUGUUGGAAAAGUUUAUUAAGGGAAAUUCUGCAAAUGACAUGUUUUGCUCCUUGAGUAAUGGCUACUUUUCUACCAGAACGUUUAUGUAGAGUAACUCUCUCUGUCUUUUUACCAACUGCAAAUGGAUAGCUGGAAGAUUGCUUCUGUGGUUUCCUCUUUAUCAUAGCUUUUCUUAUUUUGGAUUUGCUUCUAUCCAAAAUGAAUGAUGUAAAUUUUACCUACUGUCUUUAUCUUCCGAUAUUUGGAGAACUUUUUUUCUUGACUAACACAGGUUGUUUCCCAAGUACUCUACAGUAAUUAAAAAUGAGUGUUAAAUGUAUUAUUGUGGCAGAUACUCCCUUUUAGAAAACUUCAAACCAAAACUAAUAGAUAUUAAGUCAGUUAUAGCUCCCUUCUAUUCUGACACCGAGGAUGGCUUUUUCUGUCAACUCACACAGGCACAAACUUCUAUAAUCAGAAUCACAUAAUUUGUACUUUACAUGUAUUUCACUGGAAUUGAAACAAUGGUUACAUCACUUUCCACCUGCCUAUAUACUUAUCCAUCUAUCAUAUUUUCACAAUAACAUCAAUAUGUAUUGAUCAGGUCUUCAAUAACAUUAUCCAUGAUAAACUUAGAGAGUUAGCUACAAUAAUUCCCAUUUUACAGAUGAGAAGAAUGAUUUGUGAAUAAAUUAAGAAACUUCUUAUUGUACAGCAUGUAAAUCUAGUUCUGGGAUUUGAUUGAGGUUUUUACUGAUGGGAAACAUGUUCUUGGGAGCUUUGUUAAACUGACUAAUAAUCAGAACAAGUCCUCUGUCCUCUCUAAUGAAAACAUUAAGUUUAAACCCUACCCUGUAAUUAAAAAGCACUUUUUAGAACAGUAUCAAAAACACUUUGGGUUGAUUUAAAACCAAAUUUCUCAAGAUUCUGCUGAAUUUUAUUUUUAGUCUUCCACUGACUUCAUUCUUUCUGUUUCCUACCUUGACUCAGUUCUAUUUUGAGAAUGAAAAAAAAAGUCUCUCUUUGCUGCUCCUACCCCCAGGAGAUGUCAGCCAGCGUCCAUCUUUAGAAGACAGGAAAGCUCCUGCACUGAGUGGGAGUUCUCAGCCGGAGGAAACAUUGUGGGUUUUAUGGAUGCUCUUUGUUUGCUAGAAUCAAGUCUUAGGCAGUGAUACUAUGUUCUGUUGUUUAUUUUUUUAACUUUGAGGAAUUACACAGCCAACUAAAAAAUUGAUAAUGGGUGUUUAUUUAGCACUUAUACUGAGCCAGACGCUGCACAGGAAGUCAUGUGACUUUCCCAACUUUAUUCUCCAACAAGUCCCUAGCUUUAGGUUGGCAGAGGUUCAAGGCAGUGGGCUAGGAAUGGGGACUCACAAGCUAAAAGGCUGUUGCUCUUUUUGUAGGUGUUGUCUUGCUACAUUUGGUGGUAGCCAGAAGAGAUUCUAAAUGUUUAAUUGAUCUGAAUUUACUGGCAGACCAUGGGCAACCUCCCCUAAGAUACAUUGCUCCUUUGGCUUAAGAUAUAGAAUUCUCUACCUCCAUUAACCUUCUUUCCUGGAUUUUUAUUUUUAAAUCUAUCUCAGGGGUUCUCAAGACCUAGUCAUAGUAUAAGAAAAUCAUGUUUUCCCAGAGCUUCACCUGAUAUUUGGCUAUGGCUCUCUGCAUCUGAUUCCAUCAGUUGCUAGAGAAAGCUUCUUUAAUCCAUUGACCUUUUUUGCUGCUCACGUGUAGUUCUAAUCCUAAUAGAUUAAUAUCUAAUUAAUAUCUAUCCUCUGGGAUAUCCAGGCACUGGUUCUUGGUCCUCCAGGCAGUGUCAAAAAUGGGCUCCCAUUGUAGGAGCCGGAGGUGUCAAUGACAUCACAAGGAAACCCAUAAAAUCCACUAACCUGGAGUCAUAGGGUCUCACAGAGAUGGAAUCAACAAUGAGGGAGCCUGCAUAGGUUUGACCUAGGCCCUCAGAAUAUAUGUUAUGGUUGUAUAACUUAGUCUUCUUCUGGGACUCCUAACAGU
rnacentral:sRNA from 1 species